UAUUUUUAAAUAUCCUUGUUUAUUGUUUGUUUAUGUUUUAUUUAUCACAGUUCUUGUAAGAUGACGGGGUCGAGAGCAGUGUUCCUGCUUUUGACGACAAUUAUCGGGAUACACUCCCAGGAUGUGACUGUACCAGAAGCAAAGUUUUUUGUUGCCGGGUCUGGGCUUCGAGUAGAGGUGGCUGAUGUGAGUGGAAUGACUGAUGUCCAGAUUCACUUCAGGUUAUAAUAAAAUCUAUCAGCUUGGGAACCUA